AAUUGAGAUAAAGAUUUUGGAAAACAUAGAUACAUGUACAUCAUCGCUUAGCACUUUGAGAAAGAGAUAAUAAUAGAAUCAUAUUUACCCCAAACUAAUUCAUGGGUGAUUGAUGAAAACAUCAACCAUUGUUUCAUUUCAUAAAGCAACACUGGGUGAGCACUAAAUAGACGGAACCAAAUGAUGUGAGGUUCAUGAUGGGUUCAUCGUUUCCAUUCAGUUUACACACCAUACGAAGAGGAAAAAGAAGUUAUUAAAAAAGUACAAGCGAUGCCGUCAGUUGGAUAUAAAGAAACGAGAGCUAGUACGUAUUACCACACCACCACAAUUUAACCCGAUUAGGCAAACAUCAAGAGUCCUGCAAAGACCGAAUCAAUCGGUACAUGUCUCGCUGAAAAACUUUAUAGUUGAAUGUUGUCUCCAUUUCUUGUGAUAUGAGUUUCAAGUUUUGAUCUUUUUUAAAAUCGUCAUCAAUCAUUUCAUCAUUUCAUCUUUUUGUUUGUUUGUUUUUUUAAUUUUUAAACAAUAUCGAACUUUAAUUACUGGAGUUCAGCUGACUGGAGAUGUAAAAGUCUUUAUCGUUUUUUGUUGACAAUCAUACUCGAAAAAAAAGAAAUCAAACCAGAAUUGAACACGAAGUAUGACCCGAAUUGCUCUAGUACACGUGAUGUCGUCAUGGCAAGAAAUUUUGGUGAUGUGGGUCUACUAAUCCAAUAAUAGCGACUUCCUUACUUAUUAAGAGACUUGAAGGCAGUUCAAAAUACCUGUGUCUGCUCACAUAUGCAGCUUCCGGAAUCUGUUUUCAUCCUACAUAUUCUUACCCUUCUACUACUCAUUCACUUUAUGUUUACCCUAGCAAAAUGAAGUAACAUUGUUUAAAAAGAAUUGGUCGAUAGCAUCAAGACUAUCAAGCUUAAAUACAUUCAGUAACGAAAUUAGUCAUAUAAAGUCUUUCGUAAUACACAAAUUUUUUAGCGCACACGUUAUUACUGCUUAAAGCUCGUUUCUCUUCAUCCAUUUUACACAGGUAGUGUGAUCACGAAGAAUUACUAAUAAAACAUUGAGGCGUUAUGAGAUCUAUGUCGCUUCGCAAAACUGUAUCUUAGUACGACAUAAAGUUGCUUUUGGACUUGAACGUUGACUAAAUAAAUGUGUUGCCUGAUUGUACAUGAUAUAUUAUCAGCUUUGUCAAGGGAAAAACCGAGACCGAAGAAAGUUAAAACUGAGAGAAAAAUUCUAGA
rnacentral:lncRNA from 1 species